UACGUAGGGUCCGAGCGUUGUCCGGAGUUACUGGGCGUAAAGCGUGCGCAGGCGGUUCGUUGUGUCGGCGGUGAAAGCCCCGGGCUCAACCUGGGAAUGGCCGUUGAAACUGGCGAACUGGAGUGUGGCAGAGGGGGGUGGAAUUCCGCGUGUAGCAGUGAAAUGCGUAGAGAUGCGGAGGAACACCGAUGGCGAAGGCAGCCCCCUGGGCUGACACUGACGCUCAGGCACGAAAGCGUGGGGAGCAAACAGG
rnacentral:rRNA from 1 species